rnacentral:rRNA from 1 species
UACAGGGGGGGCAAGGCGUUGUUCGGAAUUACUGGGCGUAAAGGGCCAGUAGGCGGCCAACUAAGUCCGACGUGAAAUCCCCAGGCUUAACCUGGGAACUGCGUCGGAUACUGGAUGGCUUGAAUUCGGGAGAGGGAUGCAGAAUUCCAGGUGUAGCGGUGAAAUGCGUAGAUAUCUGGAGGAAUACCGGUGGCGAAGGCGGCAUCCUGGACCGACAUUGACGCUGAACGGCGAAAGCUAGGGGAGCAAACAGG